GACGAACGCUGGCGGCGUGCCUAAUACAUGCAAGUAGAACGCACAGUUUAUACCUUGGCUUGCUACACCAUACACUGUGAGUUGCGAACGGGUGAGUAACGCGUAGGUAACCGGCCUGGUAGCGGGUGAUAACUAUUGGAAACGAGAGCUAAUACCGCAUAAUAUUAAUUAUUGCAUGAUAAUUUAUUGAAAGAUGCAAUUGCAUCGCUACCAGAUGGACCUGCGUUGUAUUAGCUAGUAGGUGAGGUAACGGCUCACCUAGGCGACGAUACAUAGCCGGCCUGGGAGGGGGAACGGCCACACUGGGACUGGGACACGGGCCAGACUCCUACGGGAGGGAGCAGUAGGGAAACUUCGGCAAUGGGCGAAAGUCUGAACGAGCAAAGGCGCGUGAGUGAAGAAGGUUUUCGGAUCGUAAAGCUCUGUUGUACGGGAAGAAAGGGCGUGGGAGUGGAACGUUCACGCUGUGACGGUAUCUUACCAGAAAGGGACGGCUAACUACGUG
rnacentral:rRNA from 1 species